GCUUUCCCGUUUGCUCGGCUCUCCUUCUCCCGCCUGCUGCCCUGUGAAGAGGUGUCUUCUGCCAUAAUU
rnacentral:lncRNA from 1 species